GGUCCUGGUAGGUCAACGGCAGACCGCCGGGUGCCCGUACGGGCAGUCCCGGAGAUGCGGGUUCAAGUCCCGCCCAGGACCA
rnacentral:tRNA from 1 species